AAAAGUGCAGAUUUAAUCAUGUACCAGAAUGCAUUCUAUUAGGAAUCAUGUCAAAAAGAUACAAUAAGGAUGAGCUAUAUUUGAUUAUACAUAUUAUUACUGCGGCAAGGAUAGCAUUUGCCCAGAACUGGAAAGAGACAGACAUACUGAGUAAAGGCGAAGUAAUAAACAAAAUCUUGAUAUGCACCGAAAUGGACAAGCUAACUUUAGAGAU